AAGGCAAUUCAUCAAAUUGGAACUGCUCCAUGAUGCCACCCCUCUGCAUUUUGUCCAAAUGGAUGUUACUGAUAAGUCUUCCCAGGUGCCAACAAAAGCUGUUGAUAUUGGCAUUGGUGCCGAGAAUGCCAUCAAGGCGAUCUGAUCACCCAACAGUUUUCUCAAUUAUUGUCACUGGAGGUGAGGAAUGAGCCAGAAUUCUUAGUCUUCAAGCCUCUGGAAAAGAGGCUGGAUGUUUUCCUUCACCGCCAUGUUAGUGGUCCUUACCCAGAGCAUUGGACUUUCAUCCAGAAGCUUUUGCUCCUCUCUCAUGGACAGGCAACUGUGGAGAGGGGUUUUUCUGUAAACAAGGAAGUGGAGAUUUGCAACAUUCAAGAAGACACCCUUGUAGCACACAGGAUUGUAUGUGAUUAUGUGUCACUGCAUGGAGGGGUGACCAAGGUGCCUCUCACACAGGAGCUGCUAGCCUCAGUAUCAUCAGCAAGGAGCAGAUAUCGGAUCCAUCUCGAGACAGAAAGGCAAAAAAAGGAAUCAGAGGCACAGGGCUUGAAAAGGAAAGCUGCAGAGGAGCAUCUGGAGCAACUUAAGAAGACCAGGUUGUCCAUUCAGGAAGUUGCAGAAAAUCUGGCCCGGGAUGCAGACAAGUUGUGUGAGCAAGCGGAGUCCAAGCAAGGCAGCAAGAUGGCAGAACUUGUUGCAAAGUCAAAUGCAUUCAGGCGGAGUCAUAAAGAAAAGUUGGCUGAACUAAAGAAACUGGAUGAACUGAUUGCAUCCAAAGGAGCAGAUCUCCAAAGGAUGUAGGCCAUACUGUGAUGUCUAUGUAGGCUAUGUUUUCCCCACCCUGUUUGUGCUCUGAGUGGAUUGGCUUACUCUCGACACCUUGUUUGGGCCUGUUAAAGAUGUUUGGUUGAUGCGCUUACCUUCGAUCUUUUUGUCUUUAGAAUGCUUCUCUAGUGUGUG